rnacentral:lncRNA from 1 species
CCACCAUCAAGGCCGCAGGCUGCCAAGUGUGGUCCGCGGGGCUGGUCCUUUCCCAAGCCUAAUGCCCCAUCUCCUGUGCAGGAUCCAGCCUCAGGACCAAAGUGCACCCUCCCUCUGUGGGCAGGCAGAGGGUCUGACCCAGGCCCAUGUGUGUUGCAGAAUCCUGUCUCUUGCGUGCAGCCCCAACGGGGCCUCUUUCGUCUGUUCGGCAGCAGCUCCGAGCCUCACUUCCCAGGUGGACUUCUCAGCACCAGACAUCGGCAGCAAGGGCAUGAACCAGGUUCCUGGCAGGCUGCUGCUGUGGGACACGAAAACCAUGAAGCAGCAGCUCCAGUUCUCCCUGGAUCCAGAACCCAUUGCUAUCAACUGUACAGCCUUCAAUCACAACGGGAACCUGCUGGUCACAGGGGCAGCUGAUGGCGUCAUCCGGCUGUUUGACAUGCAGCAGCAUGAGUGCGCGAUGAGCUGGAGGGCCCACUACGGGGAGGUCUACUCUGUGGAGUUCAGCUAUGAUGAGAACACCGUGUACAGCA